CAUGCAAGUCGAACGGCAGCAUAGGAGCUUGCUCCUGAUGGCGAGUGGCGAACGGGUGAGUAAUAUAUCGGAACGUGCCCUAGAGUGGGGGAUAACUAGUCGAAAGACUAGCUAAUACCGCAUACGAUCUACGGAUGAAAGUGGGGGAUCGCAAGACCUCAUGCUCCUGGAGCGGCCGAUAUCUGAUUAGCUAGUUGGUGGGGUAAAAGCCUACCAAGGCAACGAUCAGUAGCUGGUCUGAGAGGACGACCAGCCACACUGGGACUGAGACACGGCCCAGACUCCUACGGGAGGCAGCAGUGGGGAAUUUUGGACAAUGGGGGCAACCCUGAUCCAGCAAUGCCGCGUGAGUGAAGAAGGCCUUCGGGUUGUAAAGCUCUUUUGUCAGGGAAGAAACGGUAGUAGCUAAUAUCUAUUACUAAUGACGGUACCUGAAGAAUAAGCACCGGCUAACUACGUGCCAGCAGCCGCGGUAAUACGUAGGGUGCAAGCGUUAAUCGGAAUUACUGGGCGUAAAGCGUGCGCAGGCGGUUGUGUAAGUCAGAUGUGAAAUCCCCGGGCUCAACCUGGGAAUUGCAUUUGAGACUGCACGGCUAGAGUGUGUCAGAGGGGGGUAGAAUUCCACGUGUAGCAGUGAAAUGCGUAGAUAUGUGGAGGAAUACCGAUGGCGAAGGCAGCCCCCUGGGAUAACACUGACGCUCAUGCACGAAAGCGUGGGGAGCAGACAGGAUUAGAUACCCUGGUAGUCCACGCCCUAAACGAUGUCUACUAGUUGUCGGGUCUUAAUUGACUUGGUAACGCAGCUAACGCGUGAAGUAGACCGCCUGGGGAGUACGGUCGCAAGAUUAAAACUCAAAGGAAUUGACGGGGACCCGCACAAGCGGUGGAUGAUGUGGAUUAAUUCGAUGCAACGCGAAAAACCUUACCUACCCUUGACAUGGAUGGAAUCCCGAAGAGAUUUGGGAGUGCUCGAAAGAGAACCAUCACACAGGUGCUGCAUGGCUGUCGUCAGCUCGUGUCGUGAGAUGUUGGGUUAAGUCCCGCAACGAGCGCAACCCUUGUCAUUAGUUGCUACGAAAGGGCACUCUAAUGAGACUGCCGGUGACAAACCGGAGGAAGGUGGGGAUGACGUCAAGUCCACAUGGCCCUUAUGGGUAGGGCUUCACACGUCAUACAAUGGUACAUACAGAGGGCCGCCAACCCGCGAGGGGGAGCUAAUCCCAGAAAGUGUAUCGUAGUCCGGAUUGGAGUCUGCAACUCGACUCCAUGAAGUUGGAAUCGCUAGUAAUCGCGGAUCAGCAUGUCGCGGUGAAUACGUUCCCGGGUCUUGUACACACCGCCCGUCACACCAUGGGAGCGGGUUUUUACCAGAAGUGGGUAGCCUAACCGCAAGGAGGGCGCUCACCAC
rnacentral:rRNA from 1 species